CUCAGAGGCCUGCUGAGCCUGUGUGUAGAGGGAGGGAAGCUGGCUUUUACAUUCUCUAUACAUUUUUUUUUCUCUUUGGGCAAGCAGAAUCCCCCUGUCUUAGCUCCAAACUUCCUAGAAGAAGCUGAGGCAGAGGGAGCUGAGACUGGGGGUGAAUGAAUAUGGGAGGGGGGCCACACACAUCAGCACCUGAUCUGGAACUGCCAACAGGGAGCCUGGGGUGUAUUGGCCUUGAGGACAUGCUAUGGAAGGGAGGCCGUUGGAGGCUUGAACAUAGGUGAGCUUCUACGAAGACCUGACCCAGAACCUGGAUUCUGUCUGGCCCCUCUGCUUCUCUGUCCCUGUCUCUGGAGGACAAAAAGCUGGCUAAAUACCAGCCACGGCUCCCAGGUUUGCAGAACCUUCAGGCCACCUCUAUCACCUCUCCACACCUGUCUAUGUCCAUUGCCACCCUUACCUGCUCAGCUCUACCGUGUGUUCCCUGUGUCUGGAACAGCUACCUAGUCUUUGGCUUGCUGACUCUUCUUGAGGCUCAGCUGUGAUGUCAGUUUCUCCCAGUGGCUUCCUAGGCUUGGUAACAGGCUAUCCAAGUCACCAAGUCAGUGCCAAGCUAAAGGAUGGAACAGCUGAUACACA
rnacentral:lncRNA from 1 species